UUGACCUCGGAUCAGGUAGGGAUACCCGCUGAACUUAAGCAUAUCAAAAGGCGGAGGAAAAA
rnacentral:rRNA from 1 species